rnacentral:rRNA from 1 species
UUAACUGAGUGGCGGACGGGUGAGUAACGCGUGAGUAACCUGCCUCAAAGAGGGGGAUAACGUCUGGAAACGGACGCUAAUACCGCAUGACAUAUCGUUAUGGCAUCAUAAUGAUAUCAAAGGAGCAAUCCGCUUUGAGAUGGACUCGCGUCCAAUUAGCUAGUUGGUGAGGUAACGGCCCACCAAGGCGACGAUUGGUAGCCGGACUGAGAGGUUGAA